GCACCGGUGGUGGAAUUGGUAGACACGCCAUCUUGAGGGGGUGGUGUCCGAAGGACGUGCGAGUUCAAAUCUCGCUCGGUGCACCA
rnacentral:tRNA from 3 species